CCGGCCUGCGUGACAGAGGGAGACCCUGUCUCAAAGAAACAAACGUUAUUUAAUACAAGGUGGGGUGAUCAUUGCAUGAGAAAGUGGAUGGAAGGGUCCUUUGGAACUCCUGAAGCGCCACUGAAGGUGAAGAAACCAGAGAGUAAUUUGAUGGAGAUCUCACAGAUGGAUUUCACAGGCCGAUUCUGACCAUGCUUCUACACUGGCUCUGUGGCCAGACACAGCCACAGUGAAGAGCCGGGCCCUUGGCACCAGCACCACGACUAGCGUUGAUUCCCGUCGUUUCCCGGUCCACGGCCAGACUGCUAUUUCUGUCUCCACUGGCUUUGCCACUUGUGAGCUGCGUGACCUUGGCCAAAUGACUUAACCUCUCUAAGCAUGGCCUGUGAAGUGGAGAUAAUGAUACAUCUUUAGAUUUUGCCCAGAGGAGUAAAUGGAGGUGGAAUAUGUGAAGGGGCAGUAGACCCAGGCAGGAAACAGUGCUCAAUGUGUGUCCUUCCCCCGUGACACUGAGGGACCCUGCCCUGGCAGGCAUGCCUUGCACAACAGAAACACUAGAAGCCCUUUUUUCAGAGGGGUUGAGAGGGUGGAGGCAGGUCCAGCUCGAGGUAGAGCCUUGGGACACCAGUGCUCAUGAGACAGCUCACCGUCAUGCCCAUUUCCCCCUUGACGAUCGGGAAACAGUGGCGCCUGUAUGCUGGCUUCCUGAAGCAGUGAGAGGCCAGAGGGAAAUGCACACCCCUGAAAGCAGGGUCUCAGAAGUUGAGAAGGAGAGGACGAAAAGGAGGAGAAGG